rnacentral:rRNA from 1 species
CCUACGGGAGGCAGCAGUAGGGAAUAUUGCUCAAUGGGGGAAACCCUGAAGCAGCAACGCAGCGUGGAGGAUGAAGGUUUUCGGAUUGUAAACCCCUUUUGUUAGAGAAGAAAAUGACGGUAUCUAACGAAUAAGCACAGGCUAACUCCGUGCCAGCAGCCGCGGUAAUACGGAGGGUGCAAGCGUUACUCGGAAUCACUGGGCGUAAAGAGCGCGUAGGGGGGAUAGCAAGUCAGUUGUGAAAUCCUUUGGCUUAACCAUAGAACUGCAUUUGAAACUGUUAUUCUUGAGUAUGGGAGAGGUAGGUGGAAUUCGUGGUGUAGCGGUGAAAUCCGUAGAGAUCAAGAAGAAUUCUCAUUGCGAAGGCGACCUACUAGAACAUAACUGACGCUGAUGCGCGAAAGCGUGGGUAGCAAACAGGAUUAGAUACCCUUGUAGUC